rnacentral:rRNA from 1 species
CAACUCGCCUACAUGAAGUUGGAAUCGCUAGUAAUCGCGAAUCAGAAUGUCGCGGUGAAUACGUUCCCGGGUCUUGUACACACCGCCCGUCACACCACGAGAGUUUACAACACCCGAAGUCAGUGGCCUAACCGCAAGGAGGGAGCUGCCUAAGGUGGGGUAGAUGAUUGGGGUGAAGUCGUAACAAGGUACC